ACACAAUAUCUUUAUUUUUAUGUGGUGCUGAAGAUCGAACCCAGAGCCUCACAUGUGCGAGACAAGUGCUGUACCGCUGAACCACAACUGCAGCCUCUGUGGUUUACUUUUUUUCUUUUCUUUGUUUGGUGCUUGAGAUUGACCCAGGGCCUAGCAUGUGCUAAGCAUACACUUUCCCAUGGAACUACAAAUAUGGAAUAUGUGUUGUGAUGUGAUGCAAAUUAACAUUAUUUCUAAUGAAGCAGUUAUUUAAAUUUAGGAGUUAACAGUGUUGCUGCCACUGUCGUCAUUAUUAUCAUCAUCAUGAUUAUUAUUUGUUGUACUGGGCAUUAAACCCAGUGAUGCUCUAUCAUUGAGCUACAUCCCUGACUCUUUUAUUUUUUUAGUUUGUGACAGAGUCUCACUAAUUUCCUGAGGCUGGCCUCAAACUUGUAAUUUUUUCUGCCUCAGCCUCCAGAGUACCUGGGAUCACAGGUGUGUGACAUUAUGCACAGCUUUGCUAUUAUUGCUUAACAUUUUUUCUGGUGGUUCUAGCCAAUUGAGUUAUGGGAGAAUAUAUGCUUAAAAAACUGGAAAGAAAAGUGAAAUCCUCAAUUUUUUUAAAAUUCUUUUUUUUAUUUUUUAAUUUUUUUUAUUGUUGGUUGUUCAAAACAUUACAUAGUUCUUGAUAUAUCAUCUUUCACACUUUGCUUCAAGUGGGUUAUGAACUCCCAUUUUUAGCCCAUAUACAGAUUGCAGAAUCACAUCAAUUACACAUCCAUUGAUUUAAAUUCUUUUUUUUUUAAUAUCUUUAUUUUUAUUUUUAUGUGGUGCUGAGAAUCGAAC
rnacentral:lncRNA from 1 species